rnacentral:rRNA from 1 species
GAUGAACGCUGGCGGCGUGCCUAAUACAUGCAAGUCGAGCGAACGGACGAGAAGCUUGCUUCUCUGAUGUUAGCGGCGGACGGGUGAGUAACACGUGGAUAACCUACCUAUAAGACUGGGAUAACUGCGGGAAACCGGAGCUAAUACCGGAUAAUAUUUUGAACCGCAUGGUUCAAAAGUGAAAGACGGUCUUGCUGUCACUUAUAGAUGGAUCCGCGCUGCAUUAGCUAGUUGGUAAGGUAACGGCUUACCAAGGCAACGAUGCAUAGCCGACCUGAGAGGGUGAUCGGCCACACUGGAACUGAGCCACGGUCCAGACUCCUACGGGAGGCAGCAGUAGGGAAUCUUCCGCAAUGGGCGAAAGCCUGACGGAGCAACGCCGCGUGAGUGAUGAAGGUCUUCGGAUCGUAAAACUCUGUUAUUAGGGAAGAACAUAUGUGUAAGUAACUGUGCACAUCUUGACGGUACCUAAUCAGAAAGCCACGGCUAACUACGUG